AUUUUGUUAAUUUAAAAUAAAAUAUUUAGUUGCAAACUAAAAAAUAAAUUUUACAAAAUU
rnacentral:tRNA from 1 species